GUUGGGAAUGGCUGAUGUGUGGUUUGGAGUGGAUGAUGGGUUGGGAAUGGCUGAUGUCGGGUUGGGAAUGGCUGAUGUCGGGUUGGGAAUGGCUGAUAUCGGGUUGGGAAUGGCUGAUGUCACACAGAGUGGAAAAGACACCUGAGCCUUCCCCAUCUGCUCAUUCUGUCCCGGGAGCCUCGCUGAGUGCCUCGCUUUCUGUUUCAACGCCUUAAGCACCUUUUUGCAAAGGCCACGCUGUGAGAGAGUGCAUUUAAGGAAUUAAUUUCCUGGAGUUAAUCACCCCUGGUGGCUCCUCUCCCGGCACGGCCGCUCCGGCUCCGCUCCUCGGGAAGCGUGGCGGCGGCAGCGCAGUCAAGAGGCUCCGAGGAGCGCUCCUGGCGUGGCAUUUCUCCCCACAAGAUUGCGGAUCAGACACUUAAUUCCUCAGAAAAAAAGCAGCUGAGGGCUUUGACCUUCUGUUUGAAUACGGAAUUAGCACUCCAGUAAAGGUUAAUGAGCACAAGGGGGGAGGAGAGAAUUUUUCACUGAAAUGCUUCUGAGAUGGGAUCCAGCACGUGCAGGGCUCUGGGCAGGUCUGCUCUGGCAGCAGGAGCUGCUCCCCUCGGCCCCAGCGCCACGGCCACCAGGACAGCCUCCCCAGAGAGGAGCGGGAGGGUUCCCCAGAGGACAGAGGGAACAGGGUUUCACUGCAGGCCAUGGCUUUGUUCUCAGCUGAGAUCCCGAUGGAGAACACGGGACCUUGCUCCGAGCGUUCCAAACGUGCUCAUUUUUCUGAGAACUGUGAUCUGGAAUCACAGCUCCUUUCUUUGCUGCCUCAUCCAGCUGAUGCUGGUGUAAAGGAAUUCUUUUGCCGUGUGGGGGAAGCUGCCAGGAUUGCUGUCAGGCUCUUCCUCUCCCGUUUGGCAUCUCGGCCCCUUUUGCAAGGCUCUCCUCCAGAAGGGUUGGUUUGGCCAGUCCAGGCAAAAAACAACCCAGCCUUUCCCCCAUUCCAAACCUUCCCCAAUUUCUAAUCCUCUCCCACCCAAAAUCAUGGCAUCGCUGCUGUAAAUGGCAGAUCAGCAGGGUAAAUACUGGGGUGGGGACCUCAAAUGAAUGCCACGAAUUAGGGCUGCUCUAAUUUGAGAAUCACUUUAUUGUGUUCAUUACUUCUGUCAUCAAAGGCACUUUACCUUUAUUUAAUGCUAACGCUUCUGGAAAAGCCUGGGAGCUCUGACAAGUGCUUUAAUAUUCCAACACAUUACAAAUAGUUCAGAAAAAAGUUCUUUCCACAGGCUGAGGCAGAAUAGCAAAACCAAAACAAAGCCCACCAGUGCAGGUACUGCUCAGUACUAGUAGCUUUAUUAUGGAAUUGUGGAGUGGUUUGGGCUGGAAGGGACCUUAAGGAUCAUCCAGUGAUGAUGGACAGUGCCUUUGGAAGGGUUAAUAAGAAUAAAGAUCCUUUAGGGGAAAAAAACCCACACCAUGGAGUCAUUUGUAUUUGCUAAAUGUCGAGAGGCACCAGCUGAAAACAAAGCCAGACCUUGGAGGGAGCCAGAUCCAUGUGCAAUUAUCCCGUGACCACCCAAAAUAUUGCUAUUAAACAACUCUCAGCCCAGGUUCCAGUGCAGCGCUCACAGCCAGCGUGGAGAAUAUCUCAUACAUAAAUACAGCUUUGGUCUGUGGCAGGGCCUGGCUGUGCUCUCGCUGGGACCUGGGCAGGUCCAGGACACCAGAGUCCUGCAAACCCAGGGCCCUCCAACUCCCCAAAUCCCUCAAAACUUUGUGCGAACUCCAAGGCUGGAGUUGGUGACUGAGGGGCAGAGAGCGACUUGCACCAACAACCAGCCUUAGGGAAAAUGCUGGCAAGGGCUGGGGCUGCUCAUCCAGCUCAGCUCCUGCCCUUCCCCUUCUCCACCAGGGCAUCUUCCUGCUCCUUCCCUCUAUGGCAUAAAUUCCUGGGAGCAGCAGGAAUAGUGCCCUGCUGUAGGGAGCAUCCCGGUGUCCCUGCAGACCCAUCCUGGUGUGUCCCUGCGGACCCAUCCCUGGGUGUCCCCCGUUCCCAGAGAAGGGGUGACUCUCCAGGGCCCAGCACCCACCUCCCAGUCAAUUAGAGAUGCAAAUGCACUCAGCAAAGUGCUCCUGCAGAUGUUCUUAAUUAAACCAGCCCACCCCAGCCCACACGGAGCAAUCACCCCCCAAAACGCCUUCCUGCUCUCAGAUGUUCCCAAUCACUGCUGCAGGAUCCUGCAGGAAUAUUAUUUUUGUAGGAGCAAACCAUUUGCUAAAUAAGCCACCUGUUAAAUAAACACUCCCACUCUCCAAAUAUUGUUAUUUUGUUUUCCAGCCUAUGCACAAUCUGGAUUUAUUUUAGAUGAAAAAAGAUAAUCACUAAAGCAAAAAAAAACCCCCAAAAAACAGUAUUUUGACUAUUUGCAACUAUCCAUCUUGUGAGCACAUCUGCUCCUUUGCAAGCUGGCAGCACUCUUACAUUCAAAGAGAUUCACAGCUCCUUAUUCAGCCCGGAGCUAAUGAAUUUCCAUCAGCAGGCCUCGGCACUCUUCCCUUCUUUGUCACUUCUUCAAGUCCUGAAUUGCUCCUACUCCCCACCUUCCCUUUUCUGAGCUGCAUCUUCCCACAGGGACAAAUCCCGAUCCAAGAUGGCUUUAGCAAAGUUGCCACAAGAGUGAGAACAGAGUUUGCCUCCAGUUCCGUUAUAAAAUCACAUUUUCUGUGCUUUAAAAGCCACGUUCGCCCUUAUCCCACCUCAAGCCUGCCUGUGCCGGAACAUCCUGCUGCUCCACAGCCCCUGGUGAACAGCAGGAUGGUUCUGCAGGAUGGGCAUUCUCAGGAAAAGGAAUGGAAUGGAAUCAAAUACUUCCCUGGAAGGGAUCUUGAGCCCCAGCUGCAUGAUUUAAACACCACCACUGCCAUCAGAGCUAGCACCUGGUGUCUCCUCCUUUGCAAUGAGUAAGAUACAUCACAUGGAGUCAUGGAAUUGUUUAGGCUGGAAAAGCCCUCUGAGACUCUCAAAUCCAACCAUGCCCAGCACUGCCAAGGCCACCACUGCCCCAUGUCCCCAAGUGCCACCUCCACGUGGCUGUUAAACCCCACAGGGAUGGGCACUGACCCCUGCCCUGGGCAGCUGUGCCAGUGCCUGACGAUGGAAGUCCUUACCAAGAACCCUUUUCAUCCCCGGGCUCAUCCAGCUCCAGCCUUGCCUGUAGCUUUCAAAUCCUAGACCCCAGCAGCUCAUGAGACUUUUCCAAGUGUUUUUGUGCAUUUUGACUCUAAUGUAGAUUCUUAAAUAAUUCCACAGAUCCUGCGUUACUCGUUUCACUUCGAAUGCAGCUCACAGAUUAAUGGUGUGUGUUAAUUGGGCAGCUAAUCCUCCUCCCAGAAGAAAAAAAUUACCUUAAAAAGGAUCAUAACACUUCUCAUUUUUGGUACUGUGCUGCAAACAUGUUGAAGAUAUUUUAAUAAAUGAGAAGCCUUAAUUAGAGCAGAGUGAGCCCUACAGUGCCCCUACACAUAAAAUACACAUGUGCAGGGUGAAAGAAGAAAGAGUUGGAUCUUUUCAAGGCAGGUCCUUUCCCCAACUCUCCAUCUCAGCCUUUUCCAUUAAAAAAUCCAGGAUUCCUUUCAUUCAAAGCAUAGUCUUUAAAUUCCUAUACCCAUCUCAGGGCAGCAUUAAAUAUUAAAGUCAGAUAUUAAAAUUUCAAGGAACCUAAAUUAAACCUGAGGUACUCAAAAUAAGUGUUCCUGAAUAUUUAAUGGCAAAGAUUUCAUAAUUAACUUUAGAAAUCUCUCACGCUGAGGCAGAGAGGAGCUGCCCAAUAAAAUGUGACCAUCCCAGUGACCUUCCAGGGGGCUGCAGCAGAUGCUGAAAGAUUCAGGCUUCUUGGGCCCUGUGUAGUUUCUGUGGCUUCCCGAGGAAGCCUUGCCAGCCCUCUGCCUUCUCUGAGCUGGAAUUCCACCAGAGCAUCCCGACUGUCCUGUCCCUCCUGCAGUGAACAGCCCCAAAGGGCCACGGCUCCCUGGAGCUGCUCACCAAGCUCAGAGUGGUGGGGAGAUGCUGUUUGUGGUUCCUUUAACCUCCAGUGUCCUAGGAAAGACUCCCAGAACUCCUAGGGAGGAGGAAAAAUCAUCCCAAAUGGAGAAGGGGUUUGAACACCUCCACAAGCAGCUUUCCCUCCAUUAUUCAUAAGGACUUCCAAGGAGCAAUUGCCCAUUAGUGUCCUGCAGAGCUCAUCCAGCUGGACCAGGCUGCUUCCAGCACCAUCAGACUGUUCACAGCUAAUGCUGGUCACAUCUGCUCUGAAAGGGCUGGGAGAGAGAUCCACCCAGCACGGGGGCAGGCCUGGGGGUCCAGUGCAGUCACGGGGAAACAGCUAAAAAAUGCCCCAAGAGAUAGAAAAAAUACCCCAACAGACAGAAACAACACCCCAGAGAUAAUGUAACAAUUUAAAUGAGGACGUCUGGGCUCGGGAAGUGGUUGUGUAUUAAAGUGAUGUGAGAAGCAGUAAGAAAGCAGCGACUAAGAGAGGAAAGAAGUGGUUUGGAUUUGGAUCUCUAAAGCAGUUCUGGAGCAGCCCUGCCUAUAAUGCACUUCCCAGGAAAUUAAAGCAUUAUAUAAGAAUUAGAGUCUAUUAUUCUAAUCCUCCAUCCCACACACGUUUUGUAAAAGGAGAGUUGCUUUAAAUCGAUGCUGUGACAAAUUCUCACCUCUCCUGGAGAAUUUGAGAGCAGCAGAUCAGGGCAGGGAUGAACAGCACAGGCUGAGCACACCCAGAGUCCCUGGGUGCUGUCACAGGUAGCCACCUGAUAGUCUGUGGGUAAGGCUUAAAACUGCGUAAUUAAUGGUCCAUAAUUAGCAAUACCCUUGGAGCAGCCAGCUCUUGGGCUCCCCAGCAAGAUGUACUGCCCCUGCUCAGCCCAGAGAUAAGGGUGAUCCCUAAAAUCUCUUCUAUCUGUGGAAACCUAAUAGAGACUGGAGUAAAGAGAAAUAAAUAAAAAUAUAUAAAUCACUAUGAAGAGGUUUAAAUGCCUUCCCAAAGCAGAAUAUUGCUCUGCAGCAAUGGGCAGAAGCAGAAUAGCAGAUUCAAUGGUACAGGCUGGAAUUCGGCAUUCACAAUUUGCCUCAUUAAAGUAAACACACCUUUCCUAGG